rnacentral:tRNA from 1 species
UCCUGGUGGCUCAGAUGGUAAAGCGUCUACCUGCAAUGUGGGAGACCCGGGUUCGAUUCCUGGGUCUGGAA